rnacentral:rRNA from 1 species
UACGUAGGGUGCGAGCGUUGUCCGGAAUUAUUGGGCGUAAAGAGCUCGUAGGCGGUUUGUUGCGUCGGCCGUGAAAACCUGCAGCUUAACUGUGGGCGUGCGGUCGAUACGGGCAUCACUGGAGUUCGGCAGGGGAGACUGGAAUUCCUGGUGUAGCGGUGAAAUGCGCAGAUAUCAGGAGGAACACCGGUGGCGAAGGCGGGUCUCUGGGCCGAUACUGACGCUGAGGAGCGAAAGCGUGGGGAGCGAACAGG